GUCGGUGAUUUGACGCGGUGGUCACACCCGUUCUCAUUCCGAACACGGAAGUUAAGCACCGUAGUACCGAUGAUACUUACCUUGUGUAGGGAAAGUAGGUAGUCGCCGGCA
rnacentral:rRNA from 2 species